rnacentral:rRNA from 1 species
AACGAACGCUGGCGGCAGGCUUAACACAUGCAAGUCGAACGGGUGUAGCAAUACAUCAGUGGCAGACGGGUGAGUAACACGUGGGAACCUUCCUAGGGGUACGGAACAACUCAGGGAAACUUGAGCUAAUACCGUAUACGUCCGUAAGGAGAAAGAUUCAUCGCCCCUAGACGGGCCCGCGUCGGAUUAGGUAGUUGGUGGGGUAAACGGCCUACCAAGCCUACGAUCCGUAGCUGAUCUGAGAGGANGAUCAGCCACACUGGGACUGAGACACGGCCCAGACUCCUACGGGA